GGCGGAACUCCAGGUGUAGCGGUGAAAUGCGUAGAUAUCUGGAAGAACACCGAUGGCGAAGGCAACCUCCUGGGCCUGUUUUGACGCUGAGGCACGAAAGCGUGGGUAGCAAACAGGAUUAGAUACCCUGGUAGUCCACGCCGUAAACGAUGAGAACUUGACGUUGGUUUGCUUAGCAAAUCGGUGUCGUAGCUAACGCGAUAAGUUCUCCGCCUGGGGAGUACGGCCGCAAGGUUGAAACUCAAAGGAAUUGAUGGGGGCCCGCACAAGCGGUGGAUUAUGUGGUUUAAUUCGAUGAUACGCGAGGAACCUUACCAAGACUUAAAUG
rnacentral:rRNA from 1 species